GGAAACUUGACAAACUUAUUCUCACUCUUUUUGGAUCUCUUUUCUUUAUGUGCCUGAUUGGAGCCAUAGCCAGUGGUAUAUUCAUUAAUCGAAAGUACCACUACCUAGGACUUGAUGAAGGUGCGCCAACAGAGUUUAACCCUAACAACCGAUUUGGGGUUGCUGCUUUGACUUUGUUUACACUUAUCACCUUAUACUCAACAAUAAUUCCUAUCUCUUUAUAUGUUUCCAUUGAGAUGAUCAAAUUUAUUCAGUGCACCCAAUUUAUCAACAAGGACCUACAUAUGUAUCAUGCUGAAACCAACACUGCUGCAUUGGCCAGGACUUCCAAUUUGAACGAGGAACUUGGACAGGUGGAAUAUAUCUUUUCUGAUAAAACUGGAACAUUAACAAGAAAUUUAAUGGAGUUCUUUAAAUGUUCAAUUGGAGGAGAGGUUUAUGGGUGUGGUAUCACUGAAAUAGAGCGGGGAGGAGCACUCCGGAGUGGCAUAAAUGUUCAAGAAGUGCAUAAAUCAGUCAGUGCAGUACAUGAGAAGGGGUUUAAUUUUGAUGAUUCUAGGCUGAUGCGGGGAGCUUGGAGGAAUGAGCCUGAUCCUGACACAUGCAAGGAAUUUUUCAGAUGCCUUGCUAUUUGUCAUACAGUACUUCCUGAAGGUGAUGAAUCUCCAGAAAAAAUCACAUAUCAGGCUGCAUCCCCUGAUGAGGCUGCUUUGGUUACUGCUGCAAAGAAUUUUGGUUUUUUCUUUUACAGGCGAACACCUACAAUGAUAUAUGUUCGUGAGUCUCAUGUAGAGAAAAUGGGUAAAAUUCAGGAUGUGGCUUAUGAAAUUCUGAAUGUUCUUGAGUUCAACAGCACACGGAAACGCCAGUCUGUUGUUUGUCGAUAUCCUGAUGGCAGACUUGUGUUGUACUGCAAGGGUGCUGAUACUGUAAUUUACGAGAGAUUGGCUGAUGGAAAUGAUGAUUUAAAGAAAAUAACCAGAGGACACUUGGAACAAUUUGGAUCUGCUGGAUUACGUACCCUUUGCCUAGCCUAUAGAGAUUUAAGCCCUGAAAUUUAUGAAAGCUGGAAUGAGAAGUUUAUCCAAGCUAAAUCUUCUCUUAGAGAUCGUGAAAAGAAGUUGGAUGAGGUAGCAGAACUAAUAGAAAGGGAACUCAUUUUGAUUGGUAGCACUGCUAUAGAAGACAAGCUUCAAGAAGGAGUACCAGGUUGUAUUGAGACACUUUCUAGAGCUGGAAUCAAGAUUUGGGUGUUAACAGGGGACAAGAUGGAAACAGCAAUUAAUAUAGCUUAUGCUUGCAACUUAAUUAACAAUGAGAUGAAACAAUUUAUUAUCAGCUCAGAAACUGAUGCAAUCAGAGAAGUUGAAAACAGGGGUGACCAAGUGGAAAUUGCACGCUUUAUCAAGGAAGAAGUCAAAAAAGAACUGAAGACAUGCCUUGAGGAAGCCCAGCACUGUUUGAACACCGUAUAUGGACCAAAAUUAGCCCUUGUUAUAGAUGGAAAGUGUCUGAUGUAUGCCUUGGACCCAAGUUUACGAGUAAUGCUGCUGAAUUUGAGCUUAAAUUGUAGUUCAGUUGUCUGUUGCCGGGUUUCUCCCUUGCAGAAAGCACAGGUGACUAGUCUGGUCAANNNGAAAGGUGCACGUAAAAUAACGCUUAGCAUUGGUGAUGGUGCCAAUGAUGUUAGCAUGAUUCAAGCUGCUCAUAUUGGUGUUGGAAUAAGCGGGUUAGAAGGGAUGCAAGCAGUCAUGGCUAGUGAUUUUGCGAUUGCGCAGUUUCGCUAUCUUGCUGAUUUACUUCUUGUGCAUGGGCGGUGGUCAUAUCUUAG
rnacentral:misc_RNA from 1 species